UACGUAGGGCGCAAGCGUUGUCCGGAUUUAUUGGGCGUAAAGAGCUCGUAGGCGGUUUGUCGCGUCUUCCGUGAAAACUGGGGGCUUAACUUCCAGCUUGCGGUGGAUACGGGCUGACUGGAGUGCGGCAGGGGAGACUGGAAUUCCUGGUGUAGCGGUGAAAUGCGCAGAUAUCAGGAGGAACACCUAUUGCGAAGGCAGCUCGCUGGGACGUUACUGACGCUGAGACGCGAAAGCGUGGGGAGCAAACAGG
rnacentral:rRNA from 1 species